rnacentral:rRNA from 1 species
UACGUAGGCAGCAAGCGUUGUUCGGAAUUACUGGGCGUAAAGAGUGUGUAGGCGGUGCUCUAAGUUCGGUGUGAAAUCUCCUGGCUUAACUGGGAGGGUGCGCCGGAAACUGGAAUGCUCGAGCGUGGGAGAGGAAAGCGGAAUUCCUGGUGUAGCGGUGAAAUGCGUAGAUAUCAGGAGGAACACCUGCGGUGUAGACGGCUUUCUGGACCAUUGCUGACGCUGAGACACGAAAGCUAGGGGAGCAAACAGG